rnacentral:rRNA from 1 species
UUAGACAGCUAGGAUGUUGGCUUAGAAGCAGCCAUCAUUUAAAGAAAGCGUAAUAGCUCACUAGUCGAGUCGGCCUGCGCGGAAGAUGUAACGGGGCUGAAAUAUAGCACCGAAGCUGCGGCAUCAGAAUUUAUUCUGUUGGGUAGGGGAGCGUUGUGUAAGCGGAAGAAGGUUCAUCGAGAGGUGGGCUGGACGUAUCACAAGUGCGAAUGCUGACAUAAGUAACGAUAAAACGGGUGAAAAACCCGUUCGCCGGAAGACCAAGGGUUCCUGUCCAACGUUAAUCGGGGCAGGGUGAGUCGGCUCCUAAGGCGAGGCUGAAAAGCGU